UCGGUAACAAAACCAACUGGAGCAAGCUGAAUAUAGAGAUAUUCUGCAGACACUUUGCAGGUCUUAAGACACCAGCUUGUGCAUCCUGGUCUUCCACUACCCACACAACCAAUUUUUGUCCAAACACAGCGGACACUCUCAUGCUCCAAGCACUAGCACCUCUGGUAGAACGGAGAGAACUACCAGAGACAAAUUGGGUUGUCCACUUAUUUUUUAAGGCAAUUAACAGAUUUGCAACAGUUUUAACAUGGGCACGUGUAGUUACAGUGCAUGCAGACUG